GAUCUCUCAUCCGGUGCAUGUGUAAUCCAGUUUUACAGGCUUUCACGUCUAACAUACUGUGGCCAGUGGCGUCAGGUACUGGAAGGAACUGUAUAAAGCAACAACAAUUAUAUAACGUUCAACUACGCCACCCGGUAUAUAUACCGGGAACUGCCAGCCCCAAGACAGGGGGGCGCACAGGUUCGUUACCGAAAAAUGGGUGAGCAGAGAGACAUAGGCCUGGGAGUACAAAAAAAAAAUGAAGCAGCUUUAUUCAAUACAAAAUUUAAAAUCAUCAAUACAUUACCAUCAAGGGCUAAAUAUUCACAUGUCAACAAAAGAAAAAAA